rnacentral:sRNA from 1 species
CUUCAUCAAUUUGCUGCGGGCAGAUAAAGUGAAUAUGCGCAUCAACACCGCCCGCUGUAAUGAUCGAACCUUCAGCCGCCAGCACUUCGGUGCCGGGACCAAUCACGAUAUCAACAUCAGGCUGCACAUCAGGAUUACCGGCCUUACCGAUAGCCACAAUACGUCCGUUUUUAAUCCCGAUAUCGGCUUUAAUAAUGCCCCAGUGAUCAACAAUCACUGCAUUAGUUAUCACCAGAUCAACCGUCUCAGCACUGCAACACUGGCCUUGCCCCUGGCCAUCACG